GACGAACGCUGGCGGCGUGCUUAACACAUGCAAGUCGAACGGAAAGGCCCUGCUUUUGUGGGGUGCUCGAGUGGCGAACGGGUGAGUAACACGUGAGUAACCUGCCCUUGACUUUGGGAUAACUUCAGGAAACUGGGGCUAAUACCGGAUAGGAGCUCCUGCUGCAUGGUGGGGGUUGGAAAGUUUCGGCGGUUGGGGAUGGACUCGCGGCUUAUCAGCUUGUUGGUGGGGUAGUGGCUUACCAAGGCUUUGACGGGUAGCCGGCCUGAGAGGGUGACCGGCCACAUUGGGACUGAGAUACGGCCCAGACUCCUACGGGAGGCAGCAGUGGGGAAUAUUGCACAAUGGGCGGAAGCCUGAUGCAGCAACGCCGCGUGCGGGAUGACGGCCUUCGGGUUGUAAACCGCUUUCGCCCGUGACGAAGCGUGAGUGACGGUAAUGGGUAAAGAAGCACCGGCUAACUACGUGCCAGCAGCCGCGGUGAUACGUAGGGUGCGAGCGUUGUCCGGAUUUAUUGGGCGUAAAGGGCUCGUAGGUGGUUGAUCGCGUCGGAAGUGUAAUCUUGGGGCUUAACCCUGAGCGUGCUUUCGAUACGGGUUGACUUGAGGAAGGUAGGGGAGAAUGGAAUUCCUGGUGGAGCGGUGGAAUGCGCAGAUAUCAGGAGGAACACCAGUGGCGAAGGCGGUUCUCUGGGCCUUUCCUGACGCUGAGGAGCGAAAGCGUGGGGAGCGAACAGGCUUAGAUACCCUGGUAGUCCACGCUGUAAACGGUGGGUACUAGGUGUGGGGUCCAUUCCACGGGUUCCGUGCCGUAGCUAACGCUUUAAGUACCCCGCCUGGGGAGUACGGCCGCAAGGCUAAAACUCAAAGGAAUUGACGGGGCCCCGCACAAGCGGCGGAGCAUGCGGAUUAAUUCGAUGCAACGCGUAGAACCUUACCUGGGUUUGACAUGGAUCGGGAGUGCUCAGAGAUGGGUGUGCCUCUUUUGGGGUCGGUUCACAGGUGGUGCAUGGCUGUCGUCAGCUCGUGUCGUGAGAUGUUGGGUUAAGUCCCGCAACGAGCGCAACCCUUGUUCACUGUUGCCAGCACGUUAUGGUGGGGACUCAGUGGAGACCGCCGGGGUCAACUCGGAGGAAGGUGGGGAUGACGUCAAGUCAUCAUGCCCCUUAUGUCCAGGGCUUCACGCAUGCUACAAUGGCUGGUACAGAGAGUGGCGAGCCUGUGAGGGUGAGCGAAUCUCGGAAAGCCGGUCUCAGUUCGGAUUGGGGUCUGCAACUCGACCUCAUGAAGUCGGAGUCGCUAGUAAUCGCAGAUCAGCAACGCUGCGGUGAAUAAGUUCCCGGG
rnacentral:rRNA from 1 species